rnacentral:misc_RNA from 1 species
CCGCGUCACUGUAUCGUCGCUUUGUUUUGGUGUUGCUCACUGCCAUCCGCACCCCGUGCAUCCCUCCCUCCAUGUGAAUUGAGGUUACCUCUCUCCCUCUUUUCGCGCUGUACCGCAGCCUCACUGCUGCGGGAACGGAGCCACUGUCAUCAUCUCCACGGGCUGUCUAGCUCCUCUUUCCCCUUUUUUUGAACACCAAGUUGCGCUGCGAGAUUGAAAUGGCCCAUGCGUUAGGGUUUGACGCAUCAUCUGCGCUUCGACACAGCACCAAUCGCAGCUCGAACAGCACGCGGGCCACACUGCCUCGCGGUGCUGCCCCCCCAGCAAGGGGCGGCAGCGACAAGGCAGUCGGGAUGCUGUUCUUCUCGCGGACACGGCAGCAACUGGACAAGUCGAAGGGUAGCAAUGGCGUUGCCUCCUCGUAUGGUGUCGCGGCGCAGGCGGUGCUCCAGGGCACCCGGCAAGACCCAGACGUUUACCGCAAGAUUGUCGGGUUUGAGCUGGAUGCACCUGCUGCGAUGCACGCAAUCGUGGCGACCACGCGGAGACAGAGCCGCAACCGACCGCUUCGGCAAGAAUCAACUGCACGCAUUACCGUGUCUCAGAUCUUGCCGCGGUCUGAGGCUCUCAGACACCGCAGCAGGGACAUCACCGUCACAGGAUACGACUACCUGACUCGCUUACAAAGCGAGCUAAACGCGUGUGACACAUCGGAGUCACUUCCAAGUCCCGAGCCGCAAGUUAGCUGGCAGCAUCAACGGCCCGCUUCCAUGACGGCGGCAAUGCUACCCUGCCCGCGUCGACCGGAUGGCAGGGGCGGCGGUCGCCGUCGGCAGUCUGUGAGAAGUACUAAGCCUUCGCUGGGCGUCACCACGCUAACGAAGGAAUGGGUAAAGACGUCGGAAGAGAAGGCGGCGGCGGAGCUGGCGAAGGAGUCGACAGAGGUGUGCAUGGAGAAGUCGCUGCUCACCAUGCCCGCCUUCUGCAUGCUGCCCAAACGUACUGGCCAGCUGUCGAAGGUCUCGCGCGUAGCGCAGCUUCGUCAGAGCAAAUUCAGACCCAUCUCCGCUUCCUCGAUGCCUGACGAACCCUGCGCUGCGGCAGUGGGUGUGGACGUCGCAGAAGAGGCGGCGGCGCAGCCGCCGUGGCAGCACCGUCUGCUUGCCGAGUCGAUUCAGAGCUAUCGCUUGCUGAAGGAUGCAGUGGCCUCCCCUCUCAAGCCGACGCCCUCCUCGCUCGUCCCGAUCUUAGGCUCUGCGCGUAUUCGCCGUGAAAACUUGGAGAGGCUGCGCCACGGCUUUGAGCAUCAGCGCCUCAAGCUGCAGGGGGAGCUGGAGGACAAGCUAGAGUGGCGCAAUCGAUGCCGCUCCGCUUUGCUGCGGCACAAUAGCGCAGAAGACAGAGCCGCUGUCGUGCCCGUCCACUCCCCCUCAAUAGCGCCUUCGACGCCGCAAGGUGUCAGAGAGAGGGCGAUGCACACACCGCUACUUGCGGAGGUAUUCGGAGGCGCCGCUGGAUCCACCGCGCGAUCGCGUCAGCUUGUCGAGUCGCCCCACCUGUAUUCGUUGACGCUCGGUAGUGUCUGGUCUCAAGAGGCGGCCCGACAGGCGGUGCAGCAGGAGAAGAGCCGCCUCGUUGCGCUGCUCCAGUCCUUUGUGGUGACGUGCAGCGCCGCCGCGCUGACCCUUGCCGCCACGGAGGAACUGCGCGCUGAGACAAUUCGACGCGUGUGGCACCCCGAGGAGAACGCGGGCAGCCACCACGCCGUUCUCCUACAUCGCGAGCAGUUUUUAAAGUUUCUGUGGGGACGCUAUGAAGCGCACACAAGUGGGCUGCUUGGGGCUGUGGACACAGUACGUCCGAUCGACAUUAUCGAUGCGCUACCGUCACAGGCGGAGGCAUCUUUCGCCAGGUACGCCUACGAAAUCCUCCCUACUCCUGCCGCGUAGCAACUUUGACGUGUUGGCCUGCGACGGUGCGCAUGCCCGCAGCUGUUCUGGAGGAAAUGCAACCUUUGGCGCACCCAUGUGCUUCACAUGCGCGUUGUUCCCCCACCCACCGCCCCCUCUCUCGCGCGCAGUUCUCGCUUCCCCCUAUCCCGUUUACUUUUCGCCCUUUUUUCGCUUCCCGGAAUGUUCUGUCUUUCCCUUUCGCACAUGACUUCUUUCGCUUUUUUUUUGUCACUCCACUAGCCCCCUAGCAUGAAAGAGUCAGCGCGCGCCACAUGUCAUCUUGCUUCCUGCUCCUGCACCCCCGUCUGUGAUGAGCUUGAUGUCCCUCUCUCUCUUUGUUUUUGUUGUUUGUUUCGCCCCAUCUAUCUUGACGCCACUCCAGCGCGGCAUUCUCACGUACUCUCCCGAUACACAGCCACAGCAGCAGCCACUGCUUUAUUUUCGUUGUUUGCUUCCACUUUCAUGUCGCUUCCUUCUCUCUUCGUUUUCAGCUGCCUCUAUAAAUUGUGGGUGGCUUCCAGCUCGAUUGGUGUGAGGCCACAGCCGCGCUAUUCAGUCGCCGGAUCGCAGGGGCGUCAGAGUCGCGGCCUGCGACCGGACCUGCAUAUAUGCUCUCGUUCUUGUUUGUUUUUCUCUACUCCAUGUGCUCACUUCACCUGUUUUGUGGAAAAGAUAAGCGGCGCGCUCGGUGAGAACGCCCGGCGGCGCAC